GACAGAGGAUGCAAGCGUUAUCCGGAAUGAUUGGGCGUAAAGCGUCUGUAGGUGGCUUUUCAAGUCCGCCGUCAAAUCCCAGGGCUCAACCCUGGACAGGCGGUGGAAACUGCCAAGCUGGAGGACGGUAGGGGCAGAGGGAAUUUCCGGUGGAGCGGUGAAAUGCGUUGAGAUCGGCAGGAACACCAACGGCGAAAGCGCUCUGCUGGGCCGACACUGACACUGAGAGACGAAAGCUAGGGGAGCAAAUGGG
rnacentral:rRNA from 1 species